GGAUGUGGCUCAAGUGGUAGCAUACUCGCCUAGCAUGUGUGAGGCACUGGGUUCGAUUCUCAGCACCA
rnacentral:tRNA from 1 species